rnacentral:rRNA from 1 species
AACGAACGCUGGCGGCAUGCCUAACACAUGCAAGUCGAACGGACCCUUCGGGGUUAGUGGCGCACGGGUGCGUAACGCGUGGGAAUCUGCCCUUGGGUACGGAAUAACUCUCCGAAAGGGGUGCUAAUACCGUAUGAUGUCGCGAGACCAAAGAUUUAUCGCCUGAGGAUGAGCCCGCGUUGGAUUAGCUAAUUGGUGAGGUAAAGGCUCACCAAGGCGACGAUCCAUAGCUGGUCUGAGAGGAUGAUCAGCCACACUGGGACUGAGACACGGACCAGAGUACUACGGGAGGCAGCAGUGGGGAAUAUUGGACAAUGGGGGCAACCCUGAUCCAGCAAUGCCGCGUGAGUGAUGAAGGCCUUAGGGUUGUAAAGCUCUUUUACCCGGGAAGAUAAUGACUGUACCGGGAGAAUAAGCCCCGGCUAACUCCGUGCCAGCCGCCGCAGUAAAAC